AGCUCACCGGAUUAAGACAGCGUGGAUGAUAGCCGGGCUGAAGACUCUGCUUGACUAGCUGAGAGGAGGUGCAUGGCCGUCGUCAGUUCGUACUGUGAAGCAUCCUGUUAAGUCAGGCAACGAGCGAAACCCACGCCAACAGUUGCCAGCAUGUCCUCCGGGAUGAUGGGGGACACUGUUGGGACCGCUCUGCUAAAGAGGAGGAAGGAAUGGGCAACGGUAGGUCAGCAUGCCCCGAAUUAUCCGGGCUACACGCGGGCUACAAUGGUCAGGACAAUGGGUAUCGACACCGAGAGGUGGAGGCAAUCUCCUAAACCUGUCCUUAGUUCGGAUUGUGGGCUGCAACUCGCCCACAUGAAGCUGGAAUCCGUAGUAAUCGCGUUUCAAAAUAGCGCGGUGAAUAUGUCCCUGCUCCUU
rnacentral:rRNA from 1 species